GAUGAAGAACGCAGCGAAAUGCGAUACUUGGUGUGAAUUGCAGAAUCCCGCGAAUCAUCGAGUUUUUGAACGCAAGCUGCGCCCGAAGCCAUUCGGCCGAGGGCACGUCUGCCUGGGUGUCACGCAUCGUUGCCCCCCCAAACUCCGGUUCGGGCGGGGCGGAAGUUGGCCUCCCGUGCGUGCCUGCGCGCGCGGUUAGCCCAAAAGCGAGUCCUCGGCGACGAGCGCCACGACAAUCGGUGGUUUUUUUACCCUCGUUCCUCGUCGUGCGUGCCCCGUCGCCCGAACGCGCUCUUGCGACCCUUACGCGUCGCCUCGGCGGCGCUCCCAACGCGACCCCAGGUCAGGCGGGACUACCCGCUGAGUUUAAGCAUAUCAAUAAGCGGAGGA
rnacentral:misc_RNA from 1 species